GACGAACGCUGGCGGCGUGCUUAACACAUGCAAGUCGAACGAUGAAGAAGAGAAACGCGAACUUCGGUUCAAAUUUCACUUCGGAUUAGUGGCAGACGGGUGAGUAACGCGUGAGCAACCUACCUCUUACAAAGGGAUAGCCUCGGGAAACCGUGAUUAAUACCAUAUGACACAUUCAUAAGGCAUCUUAAGAAUGUUAAAGCUACGGCGGUAAGAGAUGGGCUCGCGUCCCAUUAGCUAGUUGGUGAGGUAACGGCCCACCAAGGCGACGAUGGGUAACCGGCCUGAGAGGGUGAACGGUCACAUUGGAACUGAGACACGGUCCAAACUCCUACGGGAGGCAGCAGUGGGGAAUAUUGCACAAUGGAGGGAACUCUGAUGCAGCGACGCCGCGUGAGCGAUGAAGGAAUUCGUUUCGUAAAGCUCUGUUCGAUGGGAAGAAAAGGACUGUACCAUAGGAGAAAGCCCCGGCUAAAUACGU
rnacentral:rRNA from 1 species